rnacentral:lncRNA from 1 species
AGACGGACGUCAACACAGAACACUGGCACGCGACGACGCUACAACAUCUUCUGUACUAACACGCUCAUCAAACGACCAUGAACCCUAUACGAGUUGACCGAGGUAGCUGCAGUGUCGCCACAAGAACAAUUCGGAGCGUCUACAAAAGUUGUCUUGAUUUUUACCUGGUGCUGGAGAACUCGAUCGCAACAAUUCCUUUCCUACUCCAGUUCUACCGCGGUUAGUGGAUCCUUCCCACAGCAUUACAGUGAGUUUCCUAGUGUUAAACUACAAGAAAUUGGUCUCCAAAAAAACUGCUUUGUUAUUUCUUCUACCCCAUUUGUGGGUCAUGAGCUGUAUUGCAUUACAUUCUGUGCAAGUAAAGUCAAACUUGUACAUAUUGAAUAUCCAGUAUAUGUAACCAAUAAAGUUUUUCUAUUUAUGGAAUAAUCCAAA